AUCUGUGCUUAUUUUAGGACACUAAGCUUGUCCUUGGGAAACCAUCAAUUUAUGUCGGCGAAGUGGUUUCCCUUUCAACGCUGACCUAUAACUCAACGAGAUCUGCAAUAUUUAUUAUAGACAUAUGCAUCGACAACCGCCCUUUUAAAGUUUUUAUAAAUAGAAAGGAAGAGGGGUUGGAGAUCUCAAAUGUUGUGAUGUUGGAGAGACCAAU
rnacentral:lncRNA from 1 species